rnacentral:tRNA from 1 species
CGGGGUGUAGCUCAGCCUGGUAGAGUACUUGCAUGGGGUGCAAGGGGUCGCAGGUUCGAGUCCUGUCACCCCGACCA